CUAUCCUACUUGAUGAAAUCAUUACGGAUGUAAAGGGUCCAAAGGACUCGUUUGUCCGAGAGCGCAUAAAAACCAUGUGGAUUCUUCCGUUGCCUUCCUUCUGAUUAUUCUU
rnacentral:snoRNA from 1 species